rnacentral:ncRNA from 1 species
CUGGACACCUUGACGGGCCGCACCACACGAAAAGCGACCCGAUCCCACCAACCG